CCACAGCUGGAAAUAAAGCCUACCCCCUAAUUUCUUUGCAGAAUCAAAAGAAACAAAAUUAUAUUUAGUCAUUUAACAAGGCUUAAGGGAAAGGGCUAGAGGCCAUGAAGCCCCCAGAUGGUUUCCCUUAAUGGUUCCAUUAUUUCUUUUUCUAUUUUUAGCAGAAUCCUCAGGUAUCCUUUUCUCUCUUCCUCUUUUUCCAAAUCUUUUAGCUAUUCAACAUUUCUUACGACAAAAGAAGAUGGCUUUGUGUUAUGUUGCCAUGACGACUCCUGCUGUCACCCUACAACGUAUGGGAAGGGUAAAGGGAAGCAGAUCAGAUACAGAAGAAAUCGUGGCCAGAAAGAAUGAUUUUCAUCACAUUUUACUGCUAUGCAUAUUGUGAAAGCGUAUCCAGACAGCUUAUGUUUUGGAAGAUUGGGAUAAAAGCAGAAAUACCAUGGAAAGUGAAGACUGUGCAAGAGAUGGUCACAUUUUAUUUUGCUCCCUUUGUCAAUGACUGCCUCGUGCAGGGUUCUAAGAACAGAAGACCAAAGCCUUGUCUAGUCAAGCAUCCUGUUUCCCACAGCUCCCUACCAGAAAGCUAAGACUGGCUCAUAUGCAGGGACUUGAAGGUUUAACACUUUUAAAGUUGUUCCAAUAAAACAUAUUGCCUUUCUCAUUAGUAGGUGUGAAAAGAAACUAAGAACAAGGAAGGAAAACCAAAUGGUGGAAAAAAGCAUGGAAAAUGCAACUGCCACCUUCUUUAAACAUGAGUGUUUAAAACACAAAAAACAACAAUGUACAGUCAACCCUCCACAUUUGCUGGGAUUGGAGGCACAAGACUCUGAAAGUGAAAAACCAUGAAUAAAAGAAUUUGCUAUUUCUUUUAACCAAGUACGCUUCCAGACAGCACCAAAUUGCAGGUUUUAGUCAAGGGCAAAAAAUCCCAGAACCAAAUCUAUGAUGGAUACACAAGAGCAAUAGCAUAAGCAUCACUUUUAUAGUCUAAAAGACUGUACAAAUAUACUGUUGGUCCCAGGAUUUCUGCCUCCGUUGUCCACACUUGCUGCUUUGUCCUUGGAUUUUGCUGCUCCCAAAAUGGCCACCACGGGAUGUCGCUGGAAAUUUUGUUAUUUUUAAAAAAGAAACUUAAGAUGCAAAUAUACGUCCUGGGUUAUAGAGGCUGUAUGGCCAUCUGUGCAGACAGGUUUUGCCAUGUACUUGUGCCUGAGAACAACGAGGUGAUGUUCCUGGGUUAUACAUGUCUGUUCCCCAUUGCUUUUAAUAAUAAUAAUAAUAAACUUUAUUUUUAUAUCCCGCCCCAUCUCCCCGAAGGGACUCGGGGCGGCUCACAACAGGGACAAGCCCGAAAACAACAACACAAGACAUUUGACCAAAAACAUUCCAACAAUUCACAAAAUAAAUAAUAAAUACAUUAAAAUCCAAGCAAUAAAAUCAGAGAAUUAAAAACAAACCAGUGGGGACAGGUUUCAUAAAGUGCUGUGUCAUGGAAAUGACAUGUCUUUCCCCAUGUUUUUAUCAUUAAAAACAUGGGGAAAGUUGAUUACAUGGCAAAACCUCUAUUUGUGUGUCAGAAACCUUAUUGAACAUGUGGAGGAUGAGCUUUCUCUUGCAAGGAUAGUCAACUGUUGCCAUGUUUUAGGAUUCAACCAAUCAGGAACUGACAUGUAUAACCUGGGAACAAACCAAUAUAAAAAAAUCUCAUAUUUUCUGAAUGUAGGGAUAUACAGAGAUUUGAAUAUCUGAAUUUUCUGGCCAAAACCGGCCUUGGACUAUGAUUUUUGGAUGAUGUGAUUUUAAUACUGAAUGUAGUUGUUUUAAAUGCUUUAAAUGUUUAAUAUGUAUUCAUUUUAAAUUGUAAUUGAUUUUAAGCCAUUGUCUGUAUGUUUUCAAGGCAUCUAAUGGUUGCCAGUGUAAGCCGCCUUGAGUCCCCUUCGAGUUAGAGAAAGUUGGGGUAGAAAUAAGGUAAAUAAAUAAAUAAAUAAAUAAAUAAAAUAUUCUUGCAACUGAAAAUCUCAUGUUUUUAGGGCUUUCUAGCUAUUGCUCCCAUGUUUUCAGGGCACUACGUUUGGCCACCCUCCACUUUGAUGCGGGAGUUCCUGGGAUAAGGUAUCGUCUGGACGGGCCUCAAGAUAAUAUCUCUCCAGGGAUUUCUAGGUCUUCCAGCACACCUCUAUGGUCAAUUUCUACUGGAAGCUGAAUAUAGAAUUGCAUCAGAGGACUUAUAGAUUCCUAGGGAUAACAUAUUUAAUCAAAUAUGUGAAUAAUUAAUUCCAUAAAAGACAGAACCACAUCUGGGUGCCAAUAUCUAUUUUGCUUUGUUAGCAAUUAUCUGGAUUAGUAGCUUUUGCUGGAACAGAAUUAUAGCUGUCCCUCCAUAUUAGCAGUUCUGACUUUUGUGGAUUUCAGCAUUCACGGAUUUGAUUAAAUAUGUUCUCUGUAUAAAUCUCUAUGUCCUCCAGCAUGACUUAGGGAAGUUGCUUAUAGAGUUACACUGGAGGACCUAGAGAUUCCUAGAGAGAACAUUUUUAAAUCAAAUCCAUGAAUAACCAAAUCCACAAAAGUCAAAACCGGAAAUGUGGCAAGACAACUGUAGUUCUGUUUCAGCAAAAUCUACCAAACCAUAAAUUUGCCACCUGAGCAAAUUAGAUAUUGGCACCAGAUGCUAAAAUAAUUAUUUCUAUUUACACAUCCCUCCUCUACAGUGAAAGUGAAGCACACAUUUUGGAGAUUUUAACUUUUAAUACAGGCAGGUACUCUGCAACCACCACUGGUUUAGGAUUUCAUAGCAAGCUAUAGUAGGUCGCCUUCAUUCAAGCCAUGCCCCUUUAAACCUCAUUACCACAAGGAGAAAAAUUCUCCUAGGAAUUCUAGCACCCUAAGCAUAUUAGUCAUUGAAAGGCUGAGGGUGAGACAAAAUAUUCUAUGAUAAAUUGCAAAAUGUGAUAUUCAUAAAGAGCAGUGUUUCAUCCUUGGAGUAUGUAGAAGUGAUGAAAGAGAAGGCAAAGAGAAAUGUCAUCCUUCUGUGUUAUUUGCCUUUUUAUUUAUUUACCACAUUUAUAUACCCCGCCUUUCUCACCUGAGGGGACUCAGGGCGGCUUACAAAAAUUGGCAAAAUUUAAUGCCCAAAAUGCAAUCAUAAAAACAAAACAAUAUAAACAGAUCCAUUAAUAACAUUGUUAAAACACAUUAUAAAAACCUUAAAAACGUAUAUAUAAUUAAUUCCA